CAUCAUCACAGCAGGGGUGAUGAUGACAGUGACCAUAGCGGGAGCUCAGGAGCCAGCCUGGGGCUACGCCAAGGGAAACCUCUCAUUGCUGAGCCAAGACAGGGAUGAUGGUCUAUGAUGGACAGCAAUGUUGUAUAUACAACUUCUGAAUAGAAUUUCAUCCAUCAAAUACCCACUGAGGAGUACUGCAUGCCAGACACCAUGCUAGGCUUGAACGGAGAUGGAAGGUGAAUAGGACCCCGGCCUACUUGGGGGAGAGCCACAUAAAGAGAUCAUAAAUCAUAAUGAUGCCCUGAGGAAGCUGAGGCCUGAGCCAGCAGUCUUCAGGAAGAUCUCAUCCACGCUGGCUGCAAAGGCACUGCCCCACAUACCUAAGGAGAAAGGCAAGGUCCUGGGCCCUCACAACUCCAGCCCAUCUCAGGUCCUGGCCCAGUCCCUGCCCUGUCCCCAGCCCUCCAGCCCAGACUCACCUUGCAGGUAGCAGAUCCGGGGCUCAGGCCGGGGCUGCAGCAGAUGCCCCAUGAAGAACUCAGAGCCAAAGAGCUCAGUGGGAACAUAAGCACCAUACUUGGGCAAGCCGACCUCAUGGGGGGUGAACUCACACCACUCUGGGGGACCAGAGUAAAGGGGAAUGUUACCAGGGCCUUUCUACCAGGAUACCAGGGUUCCCCUCACACCUGAGUGCCUGAGCAGGAAUCAGACUUGCCGAGAGCAGGAGGCAGCAACCCCAUUGUGCUCCAAGGCUCCCGUCUGUACAUUACUAGCACUGGCCUCUCACACCCUCCCACCAACCACCACCUCCACCUGUUUCCCAGGUCCCCACAUCCACACCGAGGCACCUGCAAAGUCUUCCCCGUUGAUGUUGGUGCGGACAUUAAUGCUGGCAUAGAUAGGGUAAGGGUUCUGGCCCUGGCUGAUGGCCUCUUGCUGGUCAGACAGUCUGGCGGGGUUUUCCUAGUGGGCAUGAAGGGAGGUAUUUGGCUUUUGGGGGAAUCCCCUUACCCCAUGGGGAUGGCCCCAUGGCCUGAUACCCUGCAGGGGAUGGCGUGCCCACCAGAGGCUGCAGCUGCCAAGGCCAGUACUCUAGAGACAGCUAAGGGCCUUUAAGCAGCACAAGUAAGGCCACUGUGAGUUUUGUGCAAUUCCGGGGACACUGGGACUCCUCUCCUUACUUCUUUCCUGUUGAAGAAAGCAGAUUAGAGCCCAGGGGAAUCAGUGGACAUUUGUUAAAGGAAAAACUGAAAAUCCAGUUUACUUUCUUUAAAAGACAAAUCAUUCAAUGGGAUGCCUGGGUGGCUCAGCAGUUGAGUGUCUGCCUUCAGCUCAGGGUGCGAUCCCGGAG